UGUAGUCAUAUGCUUGUCUCAAAGAUUAAGCCAUGCAUGUCUAAGUACAUACCUUUGCACGGUGAAACCGCGAAUGGCUCAUUAAAUCAGUUAUGGUUCCUUAGAUCGUUCAUAUUACAUGGAUAACUGUGGUAAUUCUAGAGCUAAUACAUGCAAAAAGCUCCGACCUUAUGGGAAGAGCGCCUUUAUUAGACCAAAACCAAUGGGGUCGCAAGAUCCCUUUGUAUGGUGACUCUGGAUAACUUUGUGCUGAUCGCAUGGCCUAGAGCCGGCGACGUAUCUUUCAAGUGUCUGCCCUAUCAACUUUCGAUGGUAAGCGAUUUGCCUACCAUGGUUGCAACGGGUAACGGGGAAUA
rnacentral:rRNA from 1 species